AUUUCGCAUGUAGGGGUAAAAUCCGUAGAGAUGCCAAUGAACACCAGAGGCGAAGGCGCCUUCCUGGACGAGUACUGACGCUGAGGCGCGAAAGCGUGGGGAGCAAACAGGAUUAGAUACCCCGGUAGUCCACGCCGUAAACGAUGAGCACUAGAUAUGGGGAUGUUGACCGUCUCCGUGUCGCAGCUAACGCAUUAAGUGCUCCGCCUGGGGAGUACGGUCGCAAGACUAAAACUCAAAGGAAUUGACGGGGGCCCGCACAAGCGGUGGAUUAUGUGGUUUAAUUCGAAGCAACGCGCAGAACCUUACCUGGGCUUGAAAUCCUACGAACCUGCUUUAAACGGCGGGGUGCUCUUCGGAGAAUGUAGUGACAGGCGCUGCAUGGCUGUCGCCAGCUCGUGUCGUGAGAUGUUGGGUUAAGUCUCGCAACGAGCGCAACCCCUGUCCUUAGUUGCCAGCAUUAAGUUGGGCACUCUAGGGAGACUGCCUGGGCUAACCAGGAGGAAGGUGGGGAUGACGUCAAGUCCUCAUAGCCCUUAUGUCCAGGGCUACACACGUAAUACAAUGGUUGAUACAAAGGGAUGCGACCCGGCGACGGUGAGCAAAUCUCAAAAAGUCAAUCUCAGUCCGGAUUGGGGUCUGAAACUCGACUCCAUGAAGUUGGAAUCGCUAGUAAUCGCGGAUCAGCACGCCGCGGUGAAUACGUUCCCGGGCCUUGUACACACCGCCCGUCACACCAUGGGAGUUGAUCUUACCUGAAGCCGUGGC
rnacentral:rRNA from 1 species